GACGUAGGGCGCGAGCGUUGUCCGGAUUUAUUGGGCGUAAAGAGCUUGUAGGCGGUUUGUCGCGUCUGCUGUGAAAACGCGAGGCUCAACCUCGCGCCUGCAGUGGGUACGGGCAGACUAGAGUGCGGUAGGGGAGAUUGGAAUUCCUGGUGUAGCGGUGGAAUGCGCAGAUAUCAGGAGGAACACCGAUGGCGAAGGCAGAUCUCUGGGCCGUUACUGACGCUGAGGAGCGAAAGCGUGGGGAGCGAACAGG
rnacentral:rRNA from 1 species